UGGGGAAUAUUGGACAAUGGGCGAAAGCCUGAUCCAGCCAUGCCGCGUGAGUGAAGAAGGCCUUAGGGUUGUAAAGCUCUUUCAGCGGGGAAGAUAAUGACGGUACCCGCAGAAGAAGUCCCGGCUAACUUCGUGCCAGCAGCCGCGGUAAUACGAAGGGGACUAGCGUUGUUCGGAUUUACUGGGCGUAAAGCGCGCGUAGGCGGAUCGCUAAGUCAGGGGUGAAAUCCCAGGGCUCAACCCUGGAACUGCCUUUGAUACUGACGAUCUGGAGAUCGGGAGAGGUUGGUGGAAUUCCGAGUGUAGAGGUGAAAUUCGUAGAUAUUCGGAGGAACACCAGAAGCGAAGGCGGCCAACUGGCCCGAUACUGACGCUGAGGCGCGAAAGCGUGGGGAGCAAACA
rnacentral:rRNA from 1 species